rnacentral:rRNA from 1 species
CGUCAAAUCAUCAUGCCCUUUAUGUCCUGGGCUACACACGUACUACAAUGGCCUGUACAAAGGGUAGCGAAGCCGUGAGGUGGAGCCAAUCCCAAAAAGCAGGUCUCAGUUCGGAUUGCAGGCUGCAACUCGCCUGCAUGAAGUCGGAAUCGCUAGUAAUCGCGGAUCAGCAUGCCGCGGUGAAUACGUUCCCGGGCCUU